rnacentral:lncRNA from 1 species
CAUGCGGGGACAAAUGCUACCACAAGCAGCCAAGCCCGGGCCCGAAGCCGCCAAGCCCGAAGCCGAACCCAGGCCCGAAGCCGCCAAGCCCGAAGCCCACUCCGCCAAAGCCCGCACCUCCGAACCACGGUGGUUCACCGAAGCCCACGCCGCCAAAGCCCACACCUCCAAACCACGGUGGUUCACCGAAGCCCACGCCGCCAAAGCCCACACCUCCGGACCACGGUGGUUCACCGAAGCCCAAGCCGCCGAGGCCAACCCCGCCGAAGCGGCCGUGCCCUCCUCAUGCGCCCAAGCCCAAGCCCAAGCCGAAGCCGUGUCCGCCAAAGCCCAAGCCCAAGCCGCCAUGCCCAUGCCCGCCAGCGGCCGAUGGAUCCGCGUCGACCGACAUCAGCAACAACUGAUGGGUGUACACUCAUCAAGCAGAGCUAGUGAUUAUGCUUGCUGGAUAUCGAUAUAGAUUAUUCUGUGAGGUUACUCUAUAGAUAAGAAGUAAAUCCAUCGGCUCUAACUAAGUUGGGUAUACUAUAGAUCAUGUGUACUGAAUGUCCCGAGCUAUGUAUGUACGUAUUGUGUAAUGAAAUUAAUGUGAGAAUAUAUUAAUCUCCUAUACGUUCAGCUAAGUUUA